ensembl:lncRNA
GUCAAGACCACAGUUCAAAAGACCACAGUUCAAAAGACCACAGCCGCCAUGGCCAAAAUAACCCAUAGCACCGCAGGCUCCAGUCCACAUAAGAGCUCAGCAGAGCCUUACACACACAAGGAGGCUAUGGGGUUGUCCUCUACGGUUGUAGCAACAGUUCACAACAUUAGCACAAGCUUUGGGGCAGUGUUCUCCACUACUAUACACAAUCCAGGUGACACCACGUCAAAUAAUCUGCACCUACAAGAUCACUCAUCAACAAUCACUGGCCCAAAAGUAAAGGUGUGUAAGAAGUUUAAUUGUGCUGGCCCGAAGUGCUUUAAGACUGUGAAAGCCUUAGAGGAACCUUGCAAGAUGGAACAAAAUUUCUGUGAG